CAGCAGCCGCGGUAAUACGAAGGGUGCAAGCGUUACUCGGAAUUACUGGGCGUAAAGCGUGCGUAGGCGGUUUGUUAAGUCUGUUGUGAAAUCCCCGGGCUCAACCUGGGAAUGGCAAUGGAUACUGGCAAGCUAGAGUGUGUCAGAGGAUGGUGGAAUUCCCGGUGUAGCGGCGAAAUGCGUAGAGAUCGGGAGGAACAUCAGUGGCGAAGGCGGCCAUCUGGGACAACACUGACGCUGAGGCACGAAAGCGUGGGGAGCAAACAGGAUUAGAGACCCCCGUAGUCCCUGUCUCUUAUAC
rnacentral:rRNA from 1 species